GCACGAUAUCGGAAAGCCUUUGCUCGCUGAAUCUUCCAUCAUCUUGAUGCAUUCCUUUGAAUAAAUCUCCGGGAUGCACAUUGUGACUAAACAAAACGUGUUUCAUAAAAAAUCGGAUUAAUUGACGACUCACAUCACCAAUUCCCAUGAAGUACUUACACACUCGCGGCGGACUCGUAGCGGACACAGCCGCCACCGCGAAAAUCGCGAGCACCGCGAAUCUGUGCAGCAUCUUGAUUACGGCAGAGGGCGAUUUUCUCCCAAAGGAUCAACGCGAUCGGGAAGACGAGACGAAGCUCUGCGGUAAGGCCGCAGACGGAUGGUCGGCGGCGACGACGACUUGUCAAGACCGUCCGGAGCAGCGACGAUCUACGUACGUCCUUAUAUAGAUGCGUCUUUUUCUUCUAUUUCAGCACGGAAGAGAAGUAGGGGAAGGAGUUUCGCUGUUUCUCCUCCUCUCUUCCUCCCUAUCGCUUGGUAAUCCCCGCCGUCGUUCUUUCUUCGUUCGUUUCGUGUAAUGACGCCAUCGUCGUUCAUUAUCUAUUCGUUUCCUCACUUCUCCCGCGGCGAUGACACUUUCCAGCUUCGUCGCAUAUGGUUCUUUGGGGAAAGACAGGUUUCUCGUGUUCCAGAUUUUUGUGUUGUGAAAAUUAUUAUCGAAUUCGAAUAUACACCUAAAUAGACAAUAAAGAGUGAUUCUGUUUAAGAUCACGAAAGUGAUAUAACUUUGAGUUUGAAUUAUGUUGUUGACAUACUAAAAUAAUUGUCUUUUGUGUCAAUUUUACCAACGUUACAAUAAAAAUGCAUCGUUCGAUGCAGAGAUUUUUUUAUCUUGAA